CAUGUAUAAAGGCAAACUGUCCGAAAGGGCAGGACGCAAAGCAAUGGGCCUAAUCAUGCGCAUUCGGCAUUUAUGGCUGCCAGGCUGCCGGU
rnacentral:ncRNA from 1 species